rnacentral:rRNA from 1 species
AAUCUUGGACAAUGGGCGCAAGCCUGAUCCAGCCAUGCCGCGUGAGUGAUGAAGGCCUUAGGGUCGUAAAGCUCUUUCGCCAGGGAUGAUAAUGACAGUACCUGGUAAAGAAACCCCGGCUAACUCCGUGCCAGCAGCCGCGGUAAUACGGAGGGGGUUAGCGUUGUUCGGAAUUACUGGGCGUAAAGCGCGCGUAGGCGGGUUGUUAAGUUAGAGGUGAAAUCCCGGGGCUCAACCCCGGAACUGCCUUUAAUACUGGCAACCUAGAGUUCGAGAGAGGUGAGUGGAAUUCCGAGUGUAGAGGUGAAAUUCGUAGAUAUUCGGAGGAACACCAGUGGCGAAGGCGGCUCACUGGCUCGAUACUGACGCUGAGGUGCGAAAGUGUGGGGAGCAAACAGGAUUAGAUACCCUGGUAG